CUACCAUGCAAGUCGAGCGGUAACAGAUCCAGCUUGCUGGAUGCUGACGAGCGGCGGACGGGUGAGUAAUGCAUAGGAAUCUGCCCGAUAGUGGGGGAUAACCUGGGGAAACCCAGGCUAAUACCGCAUACGUCCUACGGGAGAAAGGGGGCUCCGGCUCCCGCUAUGGGAUGAGCCUAUGUCGGAUUAGCUAGUUGGUGAGGUAACGGCUCACCAAGGCCACGAUCCGUAGCUGGUCUGAGAGGAUGAUCAGCCACAUCGGGACUGAGACACGGCCCGAACUCCUACGGGAGGCAGCAGUGGGGAAUAUUGGACAAUGGGGGAAACCCUGAUCCAGCCAUGCCGCGUGUGUGAAGAAGGCCCUCGGGUUGUAAAGCACUUUCAGCGAGGAAGAACGCCUAGCGGUUAAUACCCGCUAGGAAAGACAUCACUCGCAGAAGAAGCACCGGCUAACUCCGUGCCAGCAGCCGCGGUAAUACGGAGGGUGCAAGCGUUAAUCGGAAUUACUGGGCGUAAAGCGCGCGUAGGUGGCUUGAUAAGCCGGUUGUGAAAGCCCCGGGCUCAACCUGGGAACGGCAUCCGGAACUGUCAAGCUAGAGUGCAGGAGAGGAAGGUAGAAUUCCCGGUGUAGCGGUGAAAUGCGUAGAGAUCGGGAGGAAUACCAGUGGCGAAGGCGGCCUUCUGGACUGACACUGACACUGAGGUGCGAAAGCGUGGGUAGCAAACAGGAUUAGAUACCCUGGUAGUCCACGCCGUAAACGAUGUCGACCAGCCGUUGGGUGCCUAGCGCACUUUGUGGCGAAGUUAACGCGAUAAGUCGACCGCCUGGGGAGUACGGCCGCAAGGUUAAAACUCAAAUGAAUUGACGGGGGCCCGCACAAGCGGUGGAGCAUGUGGUUUAAUUUCGAUGCAACGCGAAGAACCCUUACCUACUCUUGACAUCCUGCGAAUUUGGUAGAGAUACCUUAGUGCCUUCGGGAACGCAGAGACAGGUGCUGCAUGGCUGUCGUCAGCUCGUGUUGUGAAAUGUGGGGUUAAGUCCCGU
rnacentral:rRNA from 1 species